GAAUCAUUGACUUGUGCUGUCUUUUGUUUCAAAAACACAGAGUUCUUGACAAUUUAAAACGGCAUCUUUG
rnacentral:snoRNA from 1 species